GACAGAGGGUGCAAACGUUGUUCGGAAUUACUGGGCGUAAAGCGCGCGCAGGCGGCCCUUUAAGUCUGACGGUGAAAUGCCGGGGCUCAACCCCGUGCCCGCCGCGGAUACUGGAGGGCUGGAGACACGUAGAGGCAAGCGGAAUUCCGGGUGUAGCGGUGAAAUGCGCAGAUAUCAGGAGGAACACCGGUGGCGAAGGCGGGUCUCUGGGCCGAUACUGACGCUGAGGAGCGAAAGCGUGGGGAGCGAACAGG
rnacentral:rRNA from 1 species